CCUAUGGGAGGCAGCAGUGGGGAAUAUUGGACAAUGGGGGCAACCCUGAUCCAGCCAUGCCGCGUGUGUGAAGAAGGCCCUCGGGUUGUAAAGCACUUUCAGUGAGGAAGAACGCCUGGUGGUUAAUACCCAUCAGGAAAGACAUCACUCACAGAAGAAGCACCGGCUAACUCCGUGCCAGCAGCCGCGGUAAUACGGAGGGUGCGAGCGUUAAUCGGAAUUACUGGGCGUAAAGCGCGCGUAGGUGGCUUGAUAAGCCGGUUGUGAAAGCCCCGGGCUCAACCUGGGAACGGCAUCCGGAACUGUCAAGCUAGAGUGCAGGAGAGGAAGGUAGAAUUCCCGGUGUAGCGGUGAAAUGCGUAGAGAUCGGGAGGAAUACCAGUGGCGAAGGCGGCCUUCUGGACUGACACUGACACUGAGGUGCGAAAGCGUGGGUAGCAAACAGGAUUAGAUACCCGAGUAGUC
rnacentral:rRNA from 1 species